rnacentral:lncRNA from 1 species
AUUUUUCUCUCGGUAGAUUCUAAUAUAAGAAAUCUAAAUUCUAAGGAGUUGAUCUUUUAAUACUUUUACAUUUUUACUUGACCUUUUUUUUAGGUAUAGAAAGCAUUUUUUACACUCAUUAGGAAAAUGAGGAGCAUCAUACUACCUAAGGCGUUUUUUAGACUCAUUAGGAAAAUGAGGUCCAUACUACCUCAUCUCAUAACGUAAAUAAUAUUCACAAUCUAAAUCCAGAUGUAAAGAAAAUCAACCGUCCCUUAGAAAAAGUAAGAGCUUAUUCAAAGGAUAAAAAUACCGAAGAGGUAACUCCUACUAAAGACAAAGAGACCAACAACUUUAGUCUUUACUUAUCCAAAACUUGUAAGAAAAAACAACAUUGAAUGGUUACGACAUUAAUUUUUAUAAUAUUAAUACAAACUUUGCGUUUGCUUGUAGUGAUAUUUAGGAGUCUAAAACUUGAACAAACACAUACUACGUGGUCUGAACUUUAUUGAAAACAAACAAACAAGGACCACAGAGACCCCACGGAUUAGUGCAUGCAAUUGCAAUAUCUCUGAAAUUCAUCCCUUCUAUACCUAACGGUCAAAUUUUUGUUGGCCAUAGAUAGAUAUAAAGCUACCCUCUUUACAACUAUCCUCAUCACAAGUUUUCCAUGUUUCCAUUAUAAGAUAUAAUGAUAUCUCAACACACACACACACCCUUUUCUGCAAAAACCACCCUUUAAGUUUUUCUCAUGCAUGCCACACUCAAAAAAAAAUUAAAAAUAUAAUGGAAAAACUAUUCAUGGAUAUAAAAAAAUUAUAAAGGUUUUGAAAAUAUAAAAGAAAGAAAAGGAAAGUGUUGUUUGAGUUGUGGAGUUGUGUGAUGCAGAAGAUCCUCUUAGGUUAAUUAUGAAGGUUUGUUUUUUUGUGAACCUCUCACACACUUAUCUGACAGAGAGAAAGUGAGAGAUUGAGGCUUGACAUGUUCAAAGAUUGGUUUUAUAUGCUUGUAUUGUGGAGGUGAUAAAUGAGAUUCCCAAAGAAAGAAAACAAAGCUUUAAAGAGAGAGAGAAAAUAUAGAUUCUCAUAUUAUUAAAAAAGGGUGGUUAUCACAUGUAGAAUAACAUUAACAAUAGCUUUAUGUUUGAAUGUAGAAAAAGUAUAAAAUAAAGAAACUAUUUGUACAAGUCAAGAUGCAAACGAUUUUUCCCUUAAAAGAGAGGCAAGCACAAACACACCACACAUGAUCCUCUUAAUAUCACAUUCAAUAAUAAUAUUAAAUUUUUCUU